UAAAUCCAAGUGACCGUGAUGACACAAUUGGGUCCCACCCCAGCAAGCAAUAAUGGACUACUGUCUUCCACGUAGACAAUUUUCUUUCAACGCAAAUAAACCAUGUAAUUCUACAAAACAGAAAUUGUAAAAAUGGUUUAAUCGUCAUUUGUUUACAUUAAUUCAGAAGAAACCCUCUCAUUUUUUUCCACCGAAAGUCCAAGAUUUGUGCAAUUCUCACCAAUAAGAGGCAAUGAAAGUUUCAAGUCUUGCUUACUUUGGAUACCAAACGUCAUCCAAAAGCUUAUGUUGUUCUAAAAUUGCAUACAAUUAUUUAUUAAAAUUUAGCCUCCAAGGGUACCUUGAUACCAUAUUUGAUAUCUGAACUAGAACGAUUCACAAACUUUUAAUUUAUUCUCGUCUAAUUUAAA
rnacentral:lncRNA from 1 species